rnacentral:rRNA from 1 species
CCUACGGGAGGCAGCAGUGAGGAAUAUUGGUCAAUGGGCGCGAGCCUGAACCAGCCAAGUAGCGUGAAGGAUGACUGCCCUACGGGUGGUAAACUUCUUUUAUAAAGGAAUAAAGUGAGGCACGUGUGCCUUGUUGUAUGUACUUUAUGAAUAAGGAUCGGCUAACUCCGUGCCAGCAGCCGCGGUAAUACGGAGGAUCCGAGCGUUAUCCGGAAUUAUUGGGGUUAAAGGGGGCGGAGGGGGGUUGUUAAGUCAGUUGUGAAAGUUUGCGGCUCAACCGUAAAAUUGCAAUUGAUACUGGCAGCCUUGAGUACAGUAGAGGUAGGCGGAAUUCGUGGUGUAGCGGUGAAAUGCUUAGAUAUCACGAAGAACUCCGAUUGCGAAGGCAGCUUACUAAACUGCCACUGACAUUGAUGCUCGAAAGUGUGGGUAUCAAACAGGAUUAGAUACCCGGGUAGUC